CCCGAAGCUAGAGUAGCUUUGUUUAAAGAGUCGUUGAGGAUCCUUUACAAGAUGUUGUUUUAUUGUUUUGUACCUUCUCGGUGUGUCUCGUACUACCCCGCUCUGAGCGCGCGCGUGUGUGUGUGUGUGUGUCGGAGGUCCCGUGUCUGUUCCGCUGAGCUCACAACAGGCUGCACGGCCGGACUCUGGUGCCGAGCGACUUGGAUCACGCUGCUUCGCCGGCCGGUUCACCGAUUCCCCCCCCCCCAACGCGUCAGGGACUCAGCCCCCAACAGUUGUCAGCGUUCAAUAUUUCCGCCUCACACCCUAAAAGCAAAGGAACGACACGUUAAGGGUGAGAUUCGUUGAAGCACCUCACAAAA